rnacentral:rRNA from 1 species
UAGGGAAUCUUCCGCAAUGGGCGAAAGCCUGACGGAGCAACGCCGCGUGAGUGAUGAAGGUCUUCGGAUCGUAAAACUCUGUUAUUAGGGAAGAACAAAUGUGUAAGUAACUAUGCACGUCUUGACGGUACCUAAUCAGAAAGCCACGGCUAACUACGUGCCAGCAGCCGCGGUAAUACGUAGGUGGCAAGCGUUAUCCGGAAUUAUUGGGCGUAAAGCGCGCGUAGGCGGUUUUUUAAGUCUGAUGUGAAAGCCCACGGCUCAACCGUGGAGGGUCAUUGGAAACUGGAAAGCUUGAGUGCAGAAGAGGAAAGUGGAAUUCCAGGGGUGGCGGUGAAAUGCGCAGAGAUAUGGGGGAACACCAGUGGCGAAGGCGACUUUCUGGUCUGUAACUGACGCUGAUGUGCGAAAGCGUGGGGAUCAAACAGG